UCUCCGUAGGUGAACCUGCGGAGGGAUCAUUACUGAGUGAGGGCUCCGGCCCGACCUCCAACCCUUUGUGAAUCGUACUCGUUGCUUCGGGGGCGACCCUGCCUUUCGGCGCGGCGCCCCCGGAGGCUCAUCAAACACUGCAUCUUUGCGUCGGAGUCUUAAUGAAUUUAAACAAAACUUUUAACAACGGAUCUCUUGGUUCUGGCAUCGAUGAAGAACGCAGC
rnacentral:misc_RNA from 1 species